rnacentral:tmRNA from 1 species
GGGGGCGAUACGGCUUCGACAGGAGUGAUGGAGGCGAGGGUGCGGGCCGAGUUCCAACACCUCGUAAAACUGUUGGGAACAAACCAAACGCCGAUUCUGAAUUGGCUCUGGCCGCUUAAGGUGGCCACGUCUCCCGGGGAGGCCUGCGACCCCGGGUAAGGCGACGUUAGCAGGAUAACCUCCGCGUCGGUGUCCCAACGUCGCGGGGGGAAGCUUCAGCGGGACUGGCGCCGGCAGGGCCGCCUGCGGGCCGGGCCGGCGUGAGAAACAACCGCAGGAUAUGCCCGUAGAGUCCUUCGUCAAAGCUCUCUUGGACGCGGGUUCGACUCCCGCCGCCUCCACCA